AACUUUUGGCAAUGGAUCUCUUGGUUCUGGCAUCGAUGAAGAACGCAGCGAAAUGCGAUAAGCAAUGUGAAUUGCAGAAUUCAGUGAAUCAUCGAAUCUUUGAACGCACAUUGCGCCCGCUAGUACUCUAGCGGGCAUGCCUGUUCGAGCGUCAUUUCAACCCUCAAGCCCGGCUUGGUGUUGGGGCCCUACGGCUGCCGUAGGCCCUGAAAGGAAGUGGCGGGCUCGCUGCAACUCCGAGCGUAGUAGAAUCCUAUCUCGCUAGGGAGGCGCCGUGCGCUCCUGCCGUUAAAGACCCCAUCUUUAACCAAGGUUGACCUCGGAUCAGGUAGGAAUACCCGCUGAACUUAAGCAUAUCAAUAAGCGGAGGCU
rnacentral:misc_RNA from 1 species